GGCCGAAUGGUUCUUAUCUGCCGUCACAUUCUAUGUCUAUGUUUUUUAACCUCUAAAAUCAAAUAAAAUGUAAUGCAAAAAUUAAAUAUUUGAAUAUUUUGAAAAUCUAAAAUUCUCAAGGAAAGAAAAUGUAAUAGAAACAUAGAAACAUAGAAUGUGACGGCAGAUAAGAACCAUUCGGCC